AAAGAAAGCUUUGCUUGCUUAAUUAACUUUCUUCUUUUGGCAUUGAGAGGUGGCUUGUGGAGGAUGGAGAAGCAGGGCACGUGCAUUACCAUCUAACGCACGUAGCACAAGGACAUAGAGUGACAAUGGGCCCUUGGCGUGAAUAUGCCUCGUACUAAUUAAUUUCCUUGCUUAGCCUAUGAGAUUUCAAGCCUGGCGUUAUCUAUUCUGGCCUACCACAAUAUUAUGAUCCAUUAAUUGAUGCACUAAUCCAGCUACUACCUCUAAUGAUUUGAUGCAGCUUAUAAGUUGUUAACGUACAAUUACUUUCUUUUUUCCCCACUUUAUUGUUCUUUUUUUUUUUAGAGUUUGUUGCGAUUGGCGUUGCAAUUUUAGGGUCCUUCAACUUUUAAAAACGUUGCAAUUGUCAGUUACGUCCAAGUCGUCAGCUGCGACUGUAAUUCGAUCUUCAUUUAUAAUUAGUCACAGUGAAACAAACAAUUCAAAUAAUCCAAAAUGUUCCAAUUGUAUGUAGUAAACACAAUGGCAAUCCUGCAAUUACAAUGAACCAUGAAAUCCCAGAUGAAACUUAACCCUAAAAUUUAAUAUCUAUUAUAUAUUUUUUCUAUAGCUGCACCAAACAUCUUCUAGAUUCAGGAAAAUCAUUAAUUACCUGUUCAGCUCGUACCUAUACAUCAUGAGCUUAUAAAUUAUAAUGUGCAGGCAGUUGACUCUUAAAAAUUGCAGCAGUAUAUCCAUUUCGAAGGGGAAGUUUUAAUCUGCUUAAUGUAACGACGACAAGUUUGAACAGGUGUUGGUGAACUAACUUUCUGGUAAUUAAUCUGUAAUUAACUUCCGCCAAGCUACUAUUAGGUGUUAAUUACAGACUACUGAGUGCUUAAAGUAUUACUAUCUAGAUCAAGCCCGUCAAACAUAGGUUAGGCAAAUCUUACAUCAUUAAAUAGCUGUCAAAACCUAGGAAAAUUGAAUCCUCUGAGAUCAUCUAGUCUGACUCUUUGAGCUCAAAACACGCUCGUACUUCCUUUCUAAUUACUGAGCAAACAAAUUAACUGCAAUUACCGCAUUAAUAUCAUUCGUUUAUUUUAUUAAACCACAAGAUGUGCAAAACUCUUCUAUUGACAUGGGUUCAAAACUGAAAUUAUGAAUUAUGAUUAGAGGCAAGCUAAGCACAUAAGGACUAAAUGUUGGGAUAUUCAUUUGUAAACAUAUAUAGUACUGCAUAGUAAAGAAAGAGCGAUGAUUUUAAGUAGGCUUUUAGAGCCAAUUCAGAAUACUUUUAAGCUUUCGGGUUAAUUAGCAAAGCCAAUCUCAAUAUAUUUAAGGCUGUAAACUUCCAAUUAGGUCCGGUUUCUCGAGGAUUAGUGUAUGGUCCUCCUGCGGUUGGAACAUCAGCAAAAGGAGAGAUUUUCCAACACAUGCCAUCAUUCUGCGCAUUAUUUUAGCGAGUCAUUCUAAAGGACAUGGUAUUAUUGACAACCGACUUAGUCAUGAAAAUCUCUUCUGUGUAAAUCUCAGUUCAGAUAUAAUCAAUUCAUAAUGUAUCUAUUAAGCAUUAUUAAUCCACGAUUCUUUGCUUGUUAUCCAAUUCAUCUCACCUUCUCUAUCAACUCUCCUGGGUUUAGUGCUGAUCAGAUAUGGUCGCCUUCGAUGUCUAUAGAAGAGCCAUCUUCAUGUCGAAGCCUUCGAAAUCCAGUAGCAAGAAAUUUCUGGUCGAUGCUGGGAGGCCCCUCUUCACUCUGAAAUCCAAGGUUUCUUAUUGAGAUUUGUUUUUGUUAUUGUUUUGAAUUAUAGAUAUAUAAUUCCUUUUAUCUAUA